UAGAAACUCGAGCAUAGCAUAGUUUUGACUAAUUAUGCCUUUAGCUGAGAAGUGUCUUUCCUUUGAGAGACUCAGGAAAGGGACUUCAGACGAGAACUCAUUCCUCCUCUCACUGGGUACGGGUCCAUGAGCCAGCAGCCGUCCAGCAAAAUACUAUUGCCACUGUACGCACGAGACGACCAAGGAUGGGAGUGUUCUAGAAGCGACGGAUGGGACCCUGAUGACCGCCGAAGGGGUGGAGCCAGGCUCCGGAGCCACAUGUGCUGUGUGUGUAACGCUGUCCUUCCUCAGACUGGCUUGGCCUGGAGACCCGGCGUGGCCCCACACGGUCACUAACACGGAAGACUACAGGACGUACAAGUAGGCAUCUGCGAGUCCGAAUCAAAGCGGGAGCCAGCAGAGCGAUGAGCCGGGGAGGCUUUCCUGUGCCUGGCUUGCUGAGUGUCCUUGUCCCAACCACUCUCCCGCUCUGGACAUCUGUUGCUUCCCCGGCACCAUCCAUCAAACCUGCCUCCCCGGGGGCAGAAGGCGGCAGAAACUUCCACCAACUGACUUGGAAGGAGGACACAACAUUCCUGCCAGCAGCGUUGGACAAAGCUACAUGUCCCCGACACAGGCCCUCACCUUUGGUUCGCGGGUCGGCUCUUCUCACUUCCAAAACAGUGAUGAGAUCAGCUGGGCUAGACCGAGAGCCCAACUGUUUUUCAUACUUUAAAAAAA